GACGAACGCUGGCGGCGUGCUUAACACAUGCAAGUCGAGCGGUAAGGCCCUUUCGGGGGUACACGAGCGGCGAACGGGUGAGUAACACGUGGGUGACCUGCCCUCAGCUCUGGGAUAAGCCUGGGAAACCGGGUCUAAUACCGGAUAUGACUCCAUGACGCAUGUUGUGGGGUGGAAAGCCUUGUGCGGCUGAGGAUGGGCCCGCGGCCUAUCAGCUUGUUGGUGGGGUGANGGCCUACCAAGGCGACGACGGGUAGCCGGCCUGAGAGGGCGACCGGCCACACUGGGACUGAGACACGGCCCAGACUCCUACGGGAGGGCAGCAGUGGGGAAUCUUGCGCAAUGGGCGAAAGCCUGACGCAGCGACGCCGCGUGAGGGAUGAC
rnacentral:rRNA from 1 species